GUGACACAGUAACAGAGGGAUUGAGGGCCUGCUCAGUGAGUUUACAUGUUAGAGGGAGUGGGGUAUAGUGACACAGUAACAGAGGGAUUGAGGGCCCUGCUCAGUGAGUUUACAUGUUAGAGGGAGUGGGGUAUAGUGAAACAGUAACAGAGGGAUUGAGGGCCCUGCUCAGUGAGUUUACAUGUUAGAGGGAGUGGGGUAUAGUGACACAGUAACAGAG